GGGGUAGAGUUAGCUUGCUAAUUUGAGACCGGCGCACGGGUGCGUAACGCGUAUGCAAUCUGCCUUUCACAAAGGAAUAGCCCAGAGAAAUUUGGAUUAAUGCCUUAUGGUAUAUGAUCGUGGCAUCACGAUUUUAUUAAAGAUUUAUCGGUGAAAGAUGAGCAUGCGUCCCAUUAGCUAGUUGGUAAGGUAACGGCUUACCAAGGCAACGAUGGGUAGGGGUCCUGAGAGGGAGAUCCCCCACACUGGUACUGAGACACGGACCAGA
rnacentral:rRNA from 1 species